rnacentral:lncRNA from 1 species
UGGCUCGUGUGUACACUGCAGAGAUCAUCUCUGCAGUUUCUCAUCUCCACGAGAAAGGGAUAAUGCAUAGGGAUCUCAAACCUGAAAACAUUCUCAUGGACGUUGAUGGCCAUGUGAUGCUAACUGAUUUUGGUUUAGCAAAGGAGUUUGAAGAGAACACAAGAUCAAACUCCAUGUGUGGAACUACUGAGUAUAUGGCACCUGAAAUUGUUAAAGGAAAAGGUCAUGAUAAGGCUGCUGAUUGGUGGAGGCACGAAACAUUAUACGUUCAGGUCAUAGUUUAUCUCUAGAUCUCGAUUUGCUUGAAAUUUGUAACGACUAGAUCUGAUUUUAUCUAAAUUUCAGCUCCUUUUCUUCAAAGGUUACGUUUUUACUGGGGAAAGUCUGAGUCUUUGAAGCUGUGUAGAUUUUAAAUUCAUUCUGAAUCCGCAAAUUGUAUAGCUUUCGGGGUUUAGUGGGACUUGCUUUCAUAAUGCUGUACUUCAGAUUUGAUCUGUUUAUGUUUUAGCCUCUAAAUUUGUGAAUGUUCACUGUACCUGCAGAGCUUAUAAAACCUUCAUGGCAUUUGCGCACUUCUGCAGCAUCGAAUGUUUCCUUAAAGUCGGGAAACAAGAAGCGCUUUUUCUCCUUGUUAUUGGUUUGCCUAUUGCCACCACUCGUUCUAGUCAGUUUUCUCCGCAUUAACCCACCCUCGGUACAUCAUCUCUCUCUCACCACUCUGGUGAACUCUUCUUGAAGCUUUCUCUGUGGUUCUGCAUCGGUUCUUUUAUAGUUGUAAGUUAUGGUUUCAUCUCACCGUCCUGUCCCCAACAAAACCCGCAAACAGCAGUAUCUAUCUCUCAGCCCUUCGGAUUCUGUCUUGAAAGAUGAUGAUGUUGAGCUCGAUUUCUCUGAUGUCUUUGGCCCACUCCCUGAAGAGGCCGGUGAUGUUUCCUUUGACGAGCCUGCUGUUAUCUACACUCGUUCCCACUCUUUGGUUGGCCCGUCUUCGAUCGGUAGCCACUCUUUUAAGCUGAGCAAGCUUACCUUACGAGAGACUGAGGACUCAGUUGACUUGGUGGAGUGUCUUGAAAAUGAAUUUUCUGGUGGUGACGAAGUUGACAGUGAGAGAUCUCCAGAGGGGGAGCUGGUGGUGAAGGUCCCUGGCGUGGUGGGACUUGAUGAUUUUGAGGUUAUGAAGGUUGUAGUGAAAGGUGCGUUUGGGAAAGUCUAUCAGGUGAAAAAGAAGGAGACGUCUGAGAUAUUCGCCAUGAAGGUCAUGAGAAAAGAUAAGAUUAUGGAGAAGAACCAUGCUGAAUACAUGAAAGCUGAGCGCGAUAUUCUUACCAAAAUUGAUCAUCCAUUCAUUGUUCAACUUAAGUACUCCUUUCAGGUAAAAACUCCACUUCUAUCUCUUUGCAUCCUAGUGGUAUGGUUUAACUCAUGGUGAUGUACAUUCCUUUUUUUGUGUGCAGACUAAGUAUAGGCUCUAUCUUGUGCUUGACUUUAUAAACGGAGGGCAUCUAUUCUUCCAGCUCUAUCAUCAAGGGCUUUUCAGGUUUCGUUUAGUUUCUUUUUCAGUUACUUUUGGAGAUUCACUAGAAUUCUGCAAGGCUUGACGAGUUCGAUGUUUUGUUUUUUUUUGGCAGAGAGGACUUGGCUCGUGUGUACACUGCAGAGAUUAUCUCUGCAGUUUCCCAUCUCCAUGAGAAAGGGAUAAUGCAUAGAGAUCUCAAACCCGAAAACAUUCUCAUGGACGUAGACGGCCACGUGAUGCUAACUGACUUUGGAUUAGCGAAGGAGUUCGAAGAGAACACAAGAUCAAACUCCAUGUGCGGGACUACUGAGUAUAUGGCACCUGAAAUCGUUAGAGGAAAAGGUCAUGAUAAGGCUGCUGACUGGUGGAGCGUUGGGAUUCUUCUCUACGAGAUGCUCACAGGAAAGGUAAAAAGCCUUACUCAUUCAUGCCUGGUGAUAUAAGUGUGUUGUGUGAUACCAUUUUUUUUGGUUUGU